AAUGUGUAUCUCGAUCUUGCAAAAUUAGAUUACAAUAAAUGCCAGGCACAACAUCAGACUGAAUGGAAUGAAUUCGAAGAAUGGUAUGCAAACGAAAAUUUGCAAGAGCUUGGGAUAACAAGAAAUUACCUUCUUCAUGCCUAUUUUUUGGCUGCUGCAACCGUAUUUGAGCCAGAGAGGUCAAAUGUGAGACUUGCAUGGGCUAAAUCUCAAAUUAUUUGUAAGAUAAUUGUAUCUUAUUUCAAUCACGAAAAUACUUCGGAGGAGGAGAGGAUUGCCUUUUUAGCUAACUUCAGAAAUAGAAUCAAUGGCCUUACCAAUACAAAAAGCAGUAAGACUGGACAUCGAAUUCCCAAUAUAUUAUCGAAAAUCCUAGACCAAGCUUCGACGGAUGCAUGGGGGAUCCUCGGCAGAGACAUCAGCCACCAAUUACAU